rnacentral:rRNA from 1 species
GGUUGCGAUCAUACCAGCACUAAUGCACCGGAUCCCAUCAGAAUUCCGCAGUUAAGCGUGCUUGGGCGAGAGUAAUACUAGGAUGGGUGACCUCCUGGGAAGUCCUCGUGUUGCAACCC